GUGCUCACUUCGGCAGCACAGAUACUAAAAUUGGAACAAUACAGAGAAAAUUAGCAUGGCCCCUGCCCAAGGAUGACACACAAAUUUGUGAAGCAUUCCAUAUUUUU
rnacentral:snRNA from 1 species